CUGAGUCUGCACAACUCUGCCAGGACCUAGGAUCAAGAGAGACACUCAAGUGUUUUAGUACUAUAUCUCUUGACACAAUGAUGAAAAUAAUCAUGGCCUCUAAACCUACAAGCUGCAUACUGGACCCUAUUCCAACUAAUCUACUGAAAGAGCUGCUUCCUGUGCUUGGCCCACCUAUGUUGAACAUAAUAAACGGCUCUCUAUCCACCGGAUGUGUACCAAACUCACGAAAAGUGGCAGUAAUAAAGCCUCUCUUGUAAAAGCCAAACCUUGACCCAGAAAAUAUGGUGCUGCUUAGUGCUGCUUUUGAUACCAUCGAUCACCACAUUCUUUUGGAAAGAUUGGAAACCCAAAUUGGUCUACACGGACAAGUUCUGGCCUGGUUUAGAUCUUAUCUGUCGGAAAGAUAUCAGUUUGUCUCUGUGAAUGGUUUGUCCUCUGACAAAUCAACUGUAAAUUUUGGUGCUCCUCAGGGUUCCGUUUUAGGACCACUAUUGUUUUCACUAUAUAUUUUACCUCUUGGGGAUGUCAGUCGAAAACAUAAUGUUAACUUUCACUGCUAUGCGGAUGACACACAAGCUGUACAUUUCAAUGAAACAUGGUGAAGCCCCAAAAUUGCCCUCGCUAGAAGCAUGUGUUUCAGACAUAAGGAAGUGGAUGGCUGCAAACGUUCUACUUUUAAACUCGGACAAAACAGAGAUGCUUGUUCUAGGUCCCAAGAAACAAAGAGAUCUUCUGUUGAAUCUGACAAUUAAUCUUAAUGGUUAUACAGUCGUCUCAGAUAAAAUUGUGAAGGACCUCGGCGUUACUCUGGACCCUGAUCUCUCUUUUGAAGAACAUAUCAAGUGUGUUUCAAAAACAGCUUUUUUCCAUCUGCGUAACAUUGCAAAAAUCAGAAACUUUCUGUCCAAAAAUGAUGCAGAAAAAUGUAUCCUUGCUUUUGUCACUUCUAGGUUAGACUACUGCAAUGCUCUACUUUCCGGCUACCCGGAUAAAGCACUAAAUAAACUUCAGUUAGUGCUAAAUACGGCUGCUAGAAUCCUGACUAGAGCCAAAAAAAUGUGAUCAUAUUACUCCAGUACUAGCCUCCCAACACUGGCUUUCUGUCAAGGCAAGGACUGAUUUCAAGGUUUUACUGCUAACCUACAAAGCAUUACAUGGGCUUGCUCCUACCUAUCUAUCUGAUUUGGUCCUCUUGUACAUACCUACACGUACGCUACGGUCACAAGACGCAGGCCUCCUAAUUGUCCCUAGAAUUUCUAAGCAAACAGCUGGAGGCAGGGCUUUCUCCUAUAGAGCUCAAUUUUUAAGGAAUGGUCUGCCUACCCAUGUGAGAGACGCAAACUCGGUCUCAACCUUUAAGUCUUUACUGAAGACUCAUCUCUUCAGUGGGUCAUAUGAUUGAGUGUAGUCUGGUCCAGGAGUGUGAAGGUGAACGGAAAGGCUCUGGAGCAACAAACCGCCUUUGCUGUCUCUGCCUGGCUGGUUCCCCUCUUUCCACUGGGAUUCUCUGCCUCUAACCCUAUUACAGGGGCUGAGUCACUGGCUUACUAAGGUUGGGUCACUGAUGUGAUCUUCCUGUCUGGGUUGGUGCCCGCCCUUGGGUUGUGCCUUGGCGGAGAUCUUUGUGGGCUAUACUCAGCCGUGUCUUAGGAUGGUUAGGAUGGUAAGGAUGGUAAGUUGGUGGUUGAAGAUAUCCCUCUAGUGGUGUGGGGGCUGGGCUUUGGCAAAGUGGGUGGGGUUAUAUCCUUCCUGUUUGGCCCUGUCCGGGGUGUCAUCAGAUGAGGCCACAGUGUCUCCUGACCCCUCCUGUCUCAGCCUCCAGUAUUUAUGCUGCAGUAGUUUAUGUGUCGGGGUGCUAGGGUCAGUUUGUUAUAUCUGGAGCACUUCUCCUGUCCUAUCCGGUGUCCUAUGUGAAUUUAAGUAUCUCUAAUUCUCUCUUUCUCUCUCUCAGAGGACCUGAGCCCUAGGACCAUGCCUCAGGACUACCUGACAUGAUGACUUCUUGCUGUCCCCAGUCCACCUGGCCGUGCUGCUGCUCCAGUUUCAACUGGUCUGCCUGACCUGAGCCCUAGGACCAUGCCUCAGGACUACCUGAUGUGAUGACUCCUUGCUGUCCCCAGUCCACCUCCAGUUUCAACUGUUCUGCCUGUGAUUAUUAUUAUUUGACCAUGCUGGUCAUUUAGGAACAUUUGAACAUCUUGGCCAUGUUCUGUUAUAAUCUCCACCUGGCACAGCCAGAAGAGGACUGGCCACCCCACAUAACCUAGGAAGAAGCCUGGUUCCUCUCUAGGUUUUGGUGUUUCUAGGGAGUUUUUCCUAGCCACUGUGCUUCUACACCUGCAUUGCUUGCUGUUUGGGGUUUUAGGCUGGGUUUCUGUACAGCACUUUGAGAUAUCAGCUGAUGUAUGAAGGGCUAUAUAAAUACAUUUGAUUGGAUGUCAACAGUCUUUAGCUUCCAUUUUGGCUGUAGUGUUUUCAUGCGCGAAGAUGAGAGUUGCGUUCUUUGUCUCUGGUAAAGACAAUAACGAUUCUCCGUCUGAAAUUGUAUUGUUUAUUUACGUAUUAUGGUACCUGAGGUUUGAUUAUAAACGUUGUUUGACUUGUUUGGAGAAGUUUAUUGGUAACGUUUGGGAUCCAUUUUGUAUGUAUUAUGCAUUUUGAAGGAGGGAAACUGGUGGAUUAUUGAAUAAAGCGCAUCAGCUAAACUGAGUUUUUGGGGAUAUAAAGAAGGACUUUAUCAACAAAAGGACCAUUUGUGAUGUAGCUGGCACCUUUCGGAGUGCCAACAGAAGAAGAUCUUCAAAGGGAAGGCAUUUAUUUUUUGUUAUUUCUGACUUUCUGACAUCUGCCUGGUUGAAAAAUGUUUUUAAUGCUUUUGUGUGCUGGGCGCUGUCCUCAGAUAAUCGCAUGGUGUGCUUUCGCCGUAAAGCCUUUUUGAAAUCUGACACAGCGGCUGGAUUAACAAGAAGUGAAGCUUUUAUCUGAUGUAUGACACUUGUAUUUUCAUGAAUGUUAAAUAUGACUGUUUCUGUAAUUUGAAUUUCGCGCUAUGCAAUUUCACCGGAUGUUGUCGAGGUGGGUCACUAGCAGAACGCCUGCGCCAGAAACGUUAAAAUUUAUUUCAAGAAAGUUAUCUGCACACACUGGAUGCAUUUUGCCGUUUGUUUAUCAAGACCAUGAAGAGAGGCUUGGUCUGGGUGGAGGAAACCCACAAUAGCGGUGUCAUCUGCAUAUUUAAAAAAAAUAACUUCUGGGCUGCAUCAGAGGCUUGACAAUCGUUAGUGUACAGUAUCGGUGAAAGUACCCAACCUCGAGGGGCUUCCGUAUUCAACAUUCUAGAUGUAGAGAUGCCGGAGUUAAACUUCAUUUGUUGAGUACGGUUCACAAGGAAGUUAUUUAUCCACUUGAUCAGUUGAGUUGACAGCCAAAUUCAUGAGUUUAUAUACCAGUGGGAUUGGAUGAUGUUAAACGUGCUACUGAAGUCAAUUAAUAAAUUUUUCACUAGGCUAUUUGCCUUCUCUAAAUGUUGUUAUUGUUCAGCAUUACCAGUAACGCAUCAACACCCCUGGAGGCACGGUAUGCAAAUUGAUUUGAGUCUAAUUGGGAUGAGAGACCGGAGGAGAAUUUGUUUUGGAAUAAUCUUUUUCAAAACAUUUCAUAGGUACAGAUGUCAGGGCUACAGCGUGUAAAUCUUUAUUUUCUUUUGGUCUGUUGUUUUUAGGUAUUAAGAAAAUCAGUGACUUCUUCCAUAAGUCUGGAAUUAUCCCAGUGUUCAGUGACCGCUGGAACAGCUUCUGGAAUGGUAAUGCGAGCUGGUCUGAGCAUGCCUGAAGUGCCUUGCUGCUGACGCCAUCUGGACCAUAUGAUUUUCCUGGGUUGAAAGUUGAAAGUAUUGCUUGACAUCAUUCACAGAAAUCAGUAUAUCAACAGCUGGUAUGCUGUCUAUACUGUCCAAGGCCACUUUCUGCUGCGAUGUAAAAUCACACAUGUCAAACCUACAAUGGAAACUGUUCAAAUAAUUUGCAAAGCAAGGUCAUUUUCGACAGUCAUAAUGUCUCUUUGGGUUGUAGCCCUUUCCAGGCUUUCCUACUGUCCUUGUCCUUGAAAAGGUUUUCUAAUUUGUCUUUGUAUGCUGCCUUGCACUCCUUUGCCUCUGAAUAUUUUUUCCUUUCCUCUUUAUUGCAACCUGAUUUAAACAUCUUUUUUUCUGGGCGAGGAGCUCUUUUAAUUCCCGAGUUACCCACUGGUUAUUAUUGGGAAAGAUAAUAAAUUUCUUUUUGGGAAUAACGAGAUCCUCACAGAGUGGGUGUACUCAGAGACGGUAUCCGCUGCCUCUUCCAGGUCAUCGGCGCUGUCUAUCAGGGCCUCCCAGUCAGUGGACUCAAAACAGUCUUGGAGGACUUCAGGAGUCCAGCUUUUAAUCUCCACUUUUUUGGCAUUCUCUCACUGCAGACGCGCUUUGUAGACUUGGAGGAGCUGAACCAUGUUAUCAUCCGAACCCCCAAGAUUGGGUAGUGCCUUGGAAAAAUAUGCACCUGGGAUGUUAACAUAAUAGAUAUGUCCCUCUUCCUGCCCGGAAUGCCUAUGCUGAUCCUAAAGCUACUGUAUGCAGUAAGCAUAUGCCGAUGAACCAGAGUAAUAUUAUUAGCACUGAGGUGGUGUGCCCUAGUAGGAAGUCUACUUUGUGCAGCCCACCCUGCACUAUCAAAAAUAACCCGAGCAUGUCUACCUCUGCUAAGCUUCCCAGAAAGCAAUAAAAAUAAUCAAGCAUCCCAGAAAAGUGUUACAAAUAGCCCAGGUCAACCUCUAGCGUCGAGCAAUCCCGUAUCCGGGAGCGUAAUAAUAGCCUCAAGCUCAUUAGCAUAACGCAACGUUUCCUAUUCAUGAAAAUCGCAAAUGAAAUGAAAUCAAUAUAUUGGCUCACAUGCUUAGCAUUUUGUUAACAACACUGUCAUCUCAGAUUUUCAAAAUAUGCUUUUCAACCAUAGCUACACAAGCAUUUGUGUAAGAGUAUUGAUAGCUAGCAUAGCAUUAAGCCUAGCAUUCAGCAGGCAACAUUUUCACAAAAACAAGAAAAGCAUUCAAAUAAAAUCAUCUACCUUUGAAGAACUUCAGAUGUUUUCAAUGAGGAGACUCUUAGUUAGAUAGCAAAUGUUCAUUUUUUCCAAAGAUUAUUUGUGUAGACGAAAUAGCUCCGUUUUGUUCAUCACGUUUGGCUAAGAAAAAUACCGGAAAAUGCAGUCACUUACAACGCGAACUUUUUUCCAAAUUAGCUCCAUAAUAUCGACAGAAACAUGGCAAACGUUGUUUAGAAUCAAUCCUCAAGGUGUUUUUCACAUAUCUAUUCGAUAAUCUAUCAGUGGUAGCAGUUGGCUUCUCAUCAGAAGCAAACGGAAAAAUACUGCAGCUGGAGAUUACGCAAUAAUUGUGACGGAGGACACCAAGCGACCACCUGGUAGAUGUAGUCUCUUGUGGUCAAUAUUCCAAUGAUAUGCCCACAAAUACGUCACAAUGCUGCAGACACCUUGGGGAAAACGUGGAAAACGUAAGCUGACUCCUAGCUCCUUCACAGCUAUAUAAGGAGUCAUUGGCAUGAGGCGAUUUCAAAAAAUGUGGCACUUCCUGAUUGGAUUUUUAUCUGGGUUUUUUCUGUAACAUCAGUUCUGUGGCACUCACAGACAAUAUAUUUGCAGUUUUGGAAACAUCAGUGUUUUCUUUCCAAAGCUGUCAAUUAUAUGCAUAGUCGAGCAUCUUUUCGUGACAAAAUAUCUUGUUUAAAACGGGCACGUUUUUCAUCCAACAUUUUUAUUAGCGCCCCCUAUAUCCAAGAAGUUAACAUAUGUUGCUUAAGAAACAAGUUUCACAAAAUCAACCAUUUGCUAGUAACAUAUGACAUUCAUAUUCUGACAACUUCUGAAACUCACUUAGAUAAUACCUUUGAUACAGUGGUAGCAUUAGAAGGUUAUAACAUUUACAGUAAAGACAGAAAUGCCAGAAAGUGUUGCGGUCUAUAUUUAGAACCACAUCGUGGUAAAGCUUAGAGAAUAUCUCCUGUUGAAGUAAUAUGGCUACAGGUUCAAAUGCCUCACCUAAAGCCCAUUCUGGUAGGAAGCUGCUGCCAAGUGCUAAGAGUUAGUAUCUGGAUAACGUGUGAAAUUCUUGAUAGUGUAUGUGAUAUCAAUACAGCGGUAUACUUUCUGAUUUUAAAUAUUGACUGGCUUUCAUUAGGAUGCCCACUCGAGAGAGCUUCAAACUGUAACUAGUACCUGCAACCUGGUUCAGGUUAUCAAUCAACCUGGUCAUUUAUGAACAUUUGAACAUCUUGGCCAUGUUCUGUUAUAAUCUCCACCCGGCACAGCCAGAAGAGGACUGGCCACUCCACAUAACCUGGUUCCUCUCUAGGUUUCUUCCUAGGUUUUGGCCUUUCUAAGGAGUUUUUCCUAGCCACCGUGCUUCUACACCUGCAUUGCUUGCUGUUUGGUGUUUUAGGCUGGGUUUCUGUACAGCACUUUGAGAUAUCAGCUGAUGUACGAAGGGCUAUAUAAAUAAAUUUGAUUUGAUUUGAUGCACCCAUUAAGACAAUGAAAACGUGUAUGGUUGAGAGGGAUGAGGAAAAAGAGAUGGAAAAUAUGUCUGGCUGUACAACCGAUUGGCAAACGUACUGUAAAUUGAGAAAUCAUGCGACUAAACUGAAUUAAAAGAAGAAACGAUAAAUUACUUAAAGAAUGAUAGUAAAAUGCUUUCGAGCACCUUAAAUUACAUUUUAGGCAAAAAGUUAAACUCUGCUUGAGCACGGGGACCCUGCGUAGGCUGCAGGAUUUUAAUCCAUGAUGGCGUAGUGUGUUAAUAAUGGUUUUCUUUGAGUCCCAGCUCUCUCCAGGUUAUUGACCAGGUCCUGCCAUGUAGUUCUGGGCUGAUCCCUCACCUUCCUCAUGAUCAUAGAUGCCCCACGAGGUGAGAUCUUGCAUGGAGCCCCAGACCGAGGAUGAUUGACCCUCAUCUUGAACUUCUUCCAUUUUCUAAUAAUUCCUCCAACAGUUGUUGCCUUCUCACCAAGCUGCUUGCCUAUUAUCCUGUAGCCCAUCCCAGCCUUGUGCAGGUCUACAAUUUAACCCUGAUGUCCUUACACAGCUCUCUGGUCUUGGCCAUUGUGGAGAGGUUGGAGUCUGUGUGAUUGAGUGUGUGGACAGGUGUCUUUUAUACAGGUAAUGAGUGGAGAACAGGAGGGCUACUUAAAGAAAAACUAACAGGUCUGUGAGAGCUGGAAUUCUUACUGGUUGGUAGGUGAUCAAAUACUUAUGUCAUGCAAUAAAAUGCAAAUUAAUUACUUAAAAAUCAUACAAUGUGAUUUUCUGGAUUUUUGUUUUAGAUUCCGUCUCUCACAGUUGAAGUGUACCUAUGAUAAAAAUUACAGACCUCUACAUGCUUUCUAAGUUCCCUCUUCCCUGAUCAAGAGGUGAUGACCCCUCCACUCCUCUACCAUUGUCAACUGUCUCCUGACAUAAACUGAAGCCAUGUCACAUGUGCCCGUUCAUCAACUGGCACACUGAAUGUUUCCUCUCCAAGUACUUCAAAUCCUGUCCUGUUCUCAGUGGAAGAUUUGAGCUCUUCUCCAACACCAUCCAUCCAUGAUGAACCUGUCCUGUAAUGAAGACUAUGAACACCUCAACCACUGUCCUGCACUGAGGUCAAGCCUCUGAACUCCCCAACUCAUGCCUCAUACCCUCAUUCAAUCACUGCUGUGAUCCAUUCCCAACACUGUGUAAGUAGCCCUCUCAUUCACAUUCCCCAUAAUAUUGUACUGUAAAUGUGUUUAUUAAAUGCUUUAGGCUAAAAGUCUUUGAUUUUUGAAACACAUUUUCAUCUCUGUGCAUUCCGUGCCUAUACCGUCGGUCUCCCAUCCUCCUCAAUGUUUCAAGUCACCAGCCUUCACUGACAGAACACAACUGUGAAGAGUUUUCACAAAUAUUAGCGUCAUAGCUCUUGUGGGACUUUAACAGGGGGAAAUUACCUCACAAUUCAGUCUUUUAAUCUAUGGAUCUUGGGUCAAUUAAAUGGGAUAAUCAGCCUACUCCAUGACACCCACAGACUGGUGAUUUUAGCAUGUAAAUCUUGGUGCGACAAAAAAAAAAAUCAACAUGUUUUAGAUGCAUGCAGCAAAGCCACAACACUAAACAAUACAUUAAUUGCACUAUAACAGUGAGCACAAACUGUUAGCGCCUACAUAAACAGCAGAGCUUUUUCAGCACCAUGGAGUGAACCCUGCUACACCUGGUUAUAAGUGCAGGUGGCCUAGUGGUUUAGAGCGUUGUCAGCUCGGGGAUUACUGUUCCACGGUAAAGAAGUUGUUCUGCCCCUGAACAAGGCAGUUAACCCACGCGGGGGCCAGUCUUGUAUAGGCGUAACGGAAAUUUUGGUGACCUUAUUUGACCUUUUCUGCUGCUUUUGAGACACGGUUUGAUCUCUCCUUGGUGCACUACUUGAUUAAGUAAGUACACAAGUAUAAACACCAUGGGACCAUGCAGCCGUCAUACCGCUCAGGAAGGAGACGCGUUCUGUCUCCUGGAGAUGAACGUACUUUGGUGGGAAAAGUGCAAAUCAAUCCCAGAACAACAAAGGACCUUGUGAAGAUUCUGGAGGAAACAGAUGCAAAAGUAUCUAUAUCCACAGUAAAACGAGUCCUAUAUUGACAUAGCCUGAAAGGCCGCUCAGAAAGGAAGAAGCCACGGCUCCAAAACCACCAUAAACAACAAUAACAAAGAACCUUGUGAAGAUGUUGGAGGAAACCGGUACAAAAGUAUCUACAGUUGAAGUCGGAAGUUUACAUACCUUAGCUAAAUACAUUUAAACUCAGUUUUUCACUAUUCCUGACAUUUAAUUAUAGUAAAAAUGUUUUAGGUCAGAUACCCUACUAAUUGAGUGUAUGUAAACUUCUGACCCACUGGGAAUGUGAUGAAAUAAAUCAUUCUCUACUAUUAUUCUGACAUUUCACAUUCUUAAAAUAAAGUGGUGAUCCUAACCUACCUAAGACAGGGAAUUUUUACUAGGAUUAAAUGUCAGGAAUUGUGAAACAGUUUAAAUGUAUUUGGCUAAGGUGUAUGUAAAUGUCCGACUUCAACUGUAUUAUUCUAAUAUGUAUUCAUUAUAGAAUUGUGUCAGUUAUUAAUGAUAAACCUACACAUACAUAAAAUGUAUUACAAUUUAUUUACAUUGGGUGUAUGUGAGAGGGAAAGCACACAUUAAGCCAUAGUCUUUUACAAUAUUAUCAAUCACACUUUGAUUUCAUAGAUCUUGAGAAUGGAUAUGAAGGCGUAGAUAUCUCCAAUCCUAAAAUAAAAUGGUGCGAUCAUUAAAUAAACAAGUCUUUACAACUUAUUUACAUUGUGGAUAAUGUGUGUGAGUGCAUGUUUUAUUUAUUUUUCCUUGUCAGCCACCCAUCUCUGCUUUGUCAGUCUUGAUAGGCCCAGUGUCUUCUGGGUA